CAGAGUUGAAAAACUCCCUAACCCUUUGUUUAUAUACCUGUUCAGUUGCUUCGGCAGGCGGCCCCAGGGCGGGGCCUCCAGCCUGCUCACGCAGGUGCCUGCCGCUGGCGCAAAAAAACUCUUUGUUAUAUGUUACCACUCUGAGUCUAAAAAAAAUGAAUCA
rnacentral:misc_RNA from 1 species